AUGCACGCUGGCGGCGUGCCUCAUCCAUGCCAGUCGAGCGAACGGACGAGAAGCUUGCUUCUCUGAUGUUAGCGGCGGACGGGUGAGUAACCCGUGGAUAACCUACCUAUAAGACUGGGAUAACUUCGGGAAACCGGAGCUAAUACCGGAUAAUAUUUUGAACCGCAUGGUUCAAAAGUGAAAGACGGUCUUGCUGUCACUUAUAGAUGGAUCCGCGCUGCAUUAGCUAGUUGGUAAGGUAACGGCUUACCAAGGCAACGAUGCAUAGCCGACCUGAGAGGGUGAUGGGCCACCGUGGAACUGAGACACGGCCCAGACUCCUACGGGAGGCAGAAGUAGGGAAUCUUCGGCAAUGGGCGAAAGCCUGACGGAGCAACGCCGCGUGAGUGAUGAAGGUCUUCGGAUCGUAAAACUCUGUUAUUAGGGAAGAACAUAUGUGUAAGUAACGGUGCACAUCUUGACGGUACCGAAUCAGAAAGCCACGGCUAACUACGU
rnacentral:rRNA from 1 species